rnacentral:tmRNA from 1 species
GGGGGCGUUUGGUUUUGACAGCGUAGCUCUUUGAAAGUGUAAGCAUGUACUGCGUUGCGUAAUUAGCAGUUGAAUCUGAAUACGAAAACUAUAAAUGGCAAUACUCAGUAUGCCAUGGCUGCCUAAUCAGUGAUUAAGUAGUCAUUAGGGCCGCCGGGCCGGUUGACUUGUUACCAUGCCCCGCCGCCGACUUAAAAACAAAACAGGUUGCUGCAAUCAAAGGCUGUGCUGAUUGCUUAAGACUAUACAGCUAAGGAAUUAAUCGGUUGUUUGUUCCCAGUUGAUUCCCGACAUAAUAAAACAAAAUAAACAUGUAGAAAGCUUUUGAAGAAUAUGUUUGGACACCGGUUCGAUUCCGGUCGCCUCCACAA